ensembl:lncRNA
CGCAGACUCGGGGACGCUAGGGAUCGGAGCAUCUCCUUGUACCUUGAAAGGGAGAUGACCGGGUUACCUUACACUGACCUCUGGACAGCUGCCCAUCUGCACCGAGAGAACGCACAAGGCCGCAUUUGUUUGCUUGCAAAAUAUCUGGGUGUUUUCUACACCCGCCUACCUGUCCCCCAACACACACACACACCGGCGGGGGUGGGGGCCUGAGGGAUUAGAGGGAUAGAGUCAGGUCAAUCAGAAGAGAUUAGAGACUGGGCUGGACGUGUCCACUCUGAGGGCCUCUGAAAGUAGGCACUGCAGCUACGCUCCUGGUGCCCCGCCCUCAGGUGACUCGAGAUUGAUUUUUCUUGGUUCGUUAGUUCUGAAAGCCCGGGGCUGUAAAACGUUUGGGUCCAGAAUGAAACUCUGAUCCACGGAAGCUUUCCUUGCCCUGCACUCUCACCCCUGCUGGUGUCUGGAACUGGGCAGACUGGAGGAUUCUAAAGAGUUUGAGGUUGCGUAACCAUCCAGAAACACACGAUAAGAGUCCUCUUUCAGCAAAUAUUCUUGAUUAAGUCAUGAAAAUGGAAUUGGAGCUUAUUUUUCCCCUUUGUAUGGUCCAAUUUGUUCCAAACCUAAACCGCCCAGGAGAAAUGGAAAGAGCUCUGUUUCAUAACCUAAUAAUUCUGACUGCCAGGAAGGAUGAUUGCAAAGCUAAAUUCACCUUCUAUCAGAAUUUUUAUUUCUCCGUUUCUUUGUUUCUUGAAGAAGACUCAACUAUUUUUUUCUUCCCAUUAGUCAUGUUUUAAAUUUGAAAAUAAAAACACAAAUAG